AAAGGAAUAGACGGGGACCCGCACAACCAGUGGAGCAUGUGGUUUAAUUCGAGACGAAACGAAGGACCUUACCAGGCCUUGACAUUUUACCGUUUUAAGUCACUAGAAAUAGAGACCUAUCUUUAGAAAUAUUGAUGGUAAGACAGGUGCUGCAUGGCCGUCGUCAGCUCGUGCCGUAGGGUGUUCCCUUCAGUGGGGUAACGAGCGCAACCCUUGCCCUGAGUUGAAUAUUCUCGGGGGACUUCCUAAAUUUAUUUUAGGAGGAAGUAAGGACGACGUCAGGUCAGCAUGGCCCUUAUAGCCUGGGCAACACACAUGCUACAAUGGAGCCGACAAAGGGUAGCCAAGCCGCGAGGCGGAGCUAAUCCCAUAAACGGCUUCUCAGUGGGGAUUGAAGGCUGCAACUCGCCUUCAUGAACGCGGAAUUGGUAGUAAUCGCGCAUCAGCUAUGGCGCGGUGAAUACGUUCUCGGGUCUUGUACACACCGCCCGU
rnacentral:rRNA from 1 species